UACGUAGGGGGCGAGCGUUAUCCGGAUUUAUUGGGCGUAAAGCGUGUGUAGGCGGUUUAUUAAGUUUAAGAUUAAAGCCCGGGGCUCAACUCCGGUAAGUCUUAAAAACUGGUAGACUUGAGUACGGUAGAGGCAAACGGAAUUUCUAGUGUAGCGGUGAAAUGCGUAGAUAUUAGAAGGAACACCAGUGGCGAAAGCGGUUUGCUGGGCCGUUACUGACGCUGAGGCACGAAAGCGUGGGGAGCAAAUAGGAUUAGAUACCCUAGUAGUCCACGCCGUAAACGAUGAGUACUAAGUGUUGGGGUUACCCAGUGCUGAAGCUAACGUAUUAAGUACUCCGCCUGAGUAGUACGGUCGCAAGGCUGAA
rnacentral:rRNA from 1 species